AUCUCUGUCACAACAUUAGACCCACCCAGCCUGUCUCUCAGGUAGCAUCCCUGUCACAACAUUAGACCCACCCAGCCUGUCUCUCAGGUAGCAUCCCUGUCACAACAUUAGACCCACCCAGCCUGUCUCUCAGGUAGCAUCCCUGUCACAACAUUAGACCCACCGAGCCUGUCUCUCAGGUAGCAUCCCUGUCACAACAUUAGACCCACCCAGCCUGUCUCUCAGGUAGCAUCCCUGUCACAACAUUAGACCCACCCAGCCUGUCUCUCAGGUAGCAUCCCUGUCACAACAUUAGACCCACCCAGCCUGGCUCUCAGGUAGCAUCCCUGUCACAACAUUAGACCCACCCAGCCUGUCUCUCAGGUAGCAUCCCUGUCACAACAUUAG